rnacentral:rRNA from 1 species
AGAGUUUGAUCCUGGCUCAGGACUAACGCUGGCGGCGUGCCUAACACAUGCAAGUCGUGCGGGGUAUGAGGGCUUGCUCUCAUACCUAGCGGCAGACGGGUGAGUAACGCGUAAAUAACCUGCCCUAUCGCUGGGGAUAAGCCAUCGAAAGGUGGUCUAAUACCGAAUAAGUGUAACGGAAGAGAGUCCGUAAUAUAAAAGCUGAAAAGCGUGACAGGAGGGGUUUGCGUCCCAUUAGCUAGUUGGCGGGGUAAGAGCCCACCAAGGCGACGAUGGGUAGCUGGUCUGAGAGGAUGGUCAGCCACACUGGAACUGAGAUACGGUCCAGACUCCUACGGGAGGCAGCAGUGAGGAAUAUUGCGCAAUGGCCGAAAGGCUGACGCAGCGACGCCGCGUGGGGGAAGACGGCCCUUGGGUUGUAAACCCCUGUCAGUGGGGAAGAAGAUCUGACGGUACCCACAGAGGAAGCCCCGGCUAACUACGUGCCAGCAGCCGCGGUAAGACGUAGGGGGCGAGCGUUGUUCGGAAUUACUGGGCGUAAAGAGCUCGUAGGCUGGAGGAUAAGUCUUACAAUAAAACCCGCAGCUCAACUGCGGACAAUUGUAAGAUACUGUUUUACUUGAGAACAGGAGAGGGGAGCGGAAUUCCUAGUGUAGCGGUGAAAUGCGUAGAUAUUAGGAGGAACACCAGUGGCGAAGGCGGCUCUCUGGCCUGUUUCUGACGCUGAGGAGCGAAAGCUGGGGGAGCGAACGGGAUUAGAUACCCCGGUAGUCCCAGCUGUAAACGAUGGAUACUAGGUGUAGGAGGUAUCGACCCCUUCUGUGCCGCAGUUAGCACAUUAAGUAUCCCGCCUGGGGAGUACGGCCGCAAGGUUAAAACUCAAAGGAAUUGACGGGGGCCCGCACAAGCGGUGGAGCAUGUGGUUUAAUUCGACGCAACGCGAAGAACCUUACCUGGACUUGACAUCCCUUGCCCGCGUAUGAAAGUACGUUUUCUAUGCCUUCGGGUAUAGACAAGGAGACAGGUGCUGCAUGGCUGUCGUCAGCUCGUGUCGUGAGAUGUUGGGUUAAGUCCCGCAACGAGCGCAACCCUUAUUCUUAGUUGCCAACAGUUAGGCUGGGGACUCUAAGGAGACUGCCGGUAAAAAGCCGGAGGAAGGUGGGGAUGACGUCAAGUCAGCAUGGCCCUUACGUCCAGGGCUACACACGUGCUACAAUGGGGUGUACAGAGGGUCGCAAUACAGCGAUGUGGAGCCAAUCCCUAAAACACCCCUCAGUUCGGAUCGGAGGCUGCAACCUGCCUCCGUGAAGCCGGAAUCGCUAGUAACCGCAGAUCAGCAAUGCUGCGGUGAAUACGUUCCCGGGCCUUGUACACACCGCCCGUCACGUCACCCGAGUCUAUUGCACCCGAAGUCACUGAUCUAACCUGUCAAAAGGAGGAAGGUGCCGAAGGUGUGGUCGGUAAGGGGGACGAAGUCGUAACAAGGUA